rfam:Ictidomys tridecemlineatus contig091340, whole genome shotgun sequence.
AUCCUUUUAUGGCUCAAAACUGCAACAAAUAGGUUUUCAUGCCAUUGCACGAGAUGUGUCUCCUGCAAGCCUUGCUCUAGCACCUUAGAAAUCUGACC